AACGAACGCUGGCGGCAUGCCUAACACAUGCAAGUCGAACGAGACCUUCGGGUCUAGUGGCGCACGGGUGCGUAACGCGUGGGAACCUGCCCUUAGGUUCGGCAUAACUCCCCGACAGGGGUGCUAAUACCGGACAAUGUCUUCGGCCCAAAGAUUUAUCGCCUUUGGAUGGGCCCGCGUUGGAUUAGCUGGUUGGUAGGGUAAAAGCCUACCAAGGCGCCAAUCCAUAGCUGGUCUGAGAGGAUGAUCAGCCACACUGGGACUGGGACACGGCCCAGACUCCUACGGGAGGCAGCAGUGGGGGAUAUUGGACAAUGGGCGAAAGCCUGAACCAGCAAUGCCGCGUGAGUGAUGAAGGCCUUAGGGUUGUAAAGCUCUUUUACCCGGGAUGAUAAUGACAGUACCGGGAGAAUAAGCUCCGGCUAACUCCGUG
rnacentral:rRNA from 1 species